CAUCAGAGAAGAUCAAACAGAGAGAUCAGAGACAGCAGACACACAAGAAAAAGAUGGCAGCAAACAACUAUUCACUGAUUCAAACUCAGCACAACUCAACAUGACUUCAACAUUAACAACAGAACACAUCUUUAUAACAUCACACACUGGAGACAUGUUAACACCACAUUUACAUUCAAACACCGGACCAGCUCUCGAUCCAGGAUCUGGAUCUGGACGGGAAAGGAUUCGUAAUGAGGUCCCAGACAGACACCCCAAAAAGCAGAAGCAGCCUGAACACAGGGACCGCUGACCUGCACCACAGACCUGUGUGAGGCCUCCUCUCUUGUUCUUAAAGAAACAGCUGCACCACAGUCCAGAUGUUCACAAGCAAGA